GAAAUGCGAUAAGUAAUGUGAAUUGCAGAAUUCAGUGAAUCAUCGAAUCUUUGAACGCACCUUGCGCUCCUUGGUAUUCCGAGGAGCAUGCCUGUUUGAGUAUCAUGAAAUCAUCAACCCCCGCCUUCUUUGUUGAAGGUCGGGCGGCUUGGAGUUGGGGGUUAACUGCCGGUCGCGUCGAGCGAUCGGCUCCCCUUGAAUGCAUUAGCUGGGCGCUACGGCACGGCGGUUCACGGUGUGAUAAUUAUCUACACCCACGGGACGUCGAGUCGGUCGAGCUUCUAAUCGUCUCCGGACAACCUCUUUGAAAUCCGAUCUCAAAUCAGGUAGGACUACCCGCUGAACUUAA
rnacentral:misc_RNA from 1 species